rnacentral:lncRNA from 1 species
UUCGUAUCAACAAUAUAAUUAAGAGUAUGCAGUUUGCUUAUACUAAGAAACUUAAGAACAAUAGGAUUUUCAUUCACCUAAGUUUUAUACACUAAGUUCAACUUUUACUUAUAUCAUAUAUAUAUUUAUUAUAGACGUUUAAUUUUAUUUGAGAAAAAUUUGUGAGAAUUAAAAUGAGCUUUUGAAAGCCUUGGAUUCAGUUUGAGCUUAAUGAUCGGAAUAUUUUCGUAAAACUUGAUCCCCCAAUUCAAUGAAAGAAAAGAAAGACUACAUAGAACUGAAUCUUAGGAAAAUUUUUUGAGAUUUGGUAGGAUUUCAGAAAUUCCAAACAGAGAGGGAUUAAAUCCCUAUAUAAUGACCUUUGAUAUGUGAAUUAGCAAAAUGUGGGGGGCUUUAGAGAUGAAAAAAAAAAAACAAACACAAGAAUGCAAUUGUUCUAAGAAGUUUCUUGGGCGAGGGAAAUUUUCGGGUAAGCAAUACAAAAGUAAUUCCAAACAAAGACAUGGGAGGCCGGACAGCAAUCAAGAUCACAUAAAGGCCAGUGAAAAGCAAAAAAAUUUUGGCAAAAGUUUUGAAUCAUCAAGAGAGGCCAUGAGCAAUGUGGCACAUAGUUAGCAUCAAUUAAAUAUUAAAGUAUAGAAGAAACAAUUGGGAGGCUCGGCACACACAGUAAUAACAAUCAAGCAAUUGAGAUUUGAUCAAGCAAUUCAUGAUCAGAAAAGCAAAGAACAAGUUCAAUUUCCAUAAGAGAGCAAUCGAGCAUACACAGAAGGAAUUUAGCCUACAAUCAAGAGUAACCAAGCAAUAAAAACAAUAAGCAAUCAACGGUAGUGCCAAGCCAAGAAUUAAGAGAAAUUCCAAGCAAAAGGAAUUUGGCUUUCAAGUUCAAUUAUCCAAUAGCCCAGACAUACAAAAAAUUCAACCAAAAAUUGAACCCAAAGUCAGAAAAUCAAGCAACCACAACAAACGCAGAACCUGAACCCAAAAACCACAACUCAUAGCUCAGCACAGCAAUCACCAUAGGCAAAAAGUAAAAAUUACAAAUUUUCACAAGGCAUUUUUGUGGGUUUUGGUUUGAUUCUUUUUGGGGAAUUUUUGGGUAUUAAGUUGAGACAAGGAAAAAGGAGGAAGGACGUGCAAUUGACGGUGGUCACUGGCAAGAUCGUCAAUCGAUGGUGGUGACGAUCGGUGGAAACUACGGUAAGCUUCAUCUAGGUCUGGGAUUGGGCAGUCUGGGUUGAAUAACCUUUGAGAGAAGCUUAGAGAAUUUGAGAAAUUAAACAGAGAGCUAAAGAAGAAAGUG